GUUCCAAAAGCAUUUAUUUCAUCUUAUUACACAGUUGGGACACUCCUAGGAAUCCAGCACCGGUGCGAUGUCUCUACCGCCUGCACAGGGUGUUUGGCGGACUCCUACUACCUCUUUUGGGCCAGGUUCUGAACUAAGGACCUCUGUAGGCCAGCCCCUCAGUGAGUGACAAGUUGCCACCCAGGCACUGCUGUCCAGGGCCCCAAAGCUGGCAUGAGGCGGCCGUCAGGCGACCCCGUGAAAGCAGAUGCCUCCGCGGGCUGCUCGGGGUCCGAAGCCCUCCAGGUCAACUGGAGGUCGCUGGCCGAUCAAUACCGCGCGCAAGAGGCGCAGCUCCUCCCCGGUGGCCCUCAGAGCCUGAGUGCUCCGUGGACGCGAGUCCACAGGUGACACCUCCGAGCCAAGGGCGGAUCUACGCGCGCGAAGCGCUGCAGCCCAGGCCGCUCCUUAGCCGGGCUCAGCCCCGGCUGAAGUCGCGGGUUCGGAAGUAGUAAGGGCGCCCCCAACCCGGGCCGGACCUCGCCGCCACUCCGCCCCACCACGCUGCGCUUCCGGCGGCAGCAGCUCAGAGACCCUGAGCACAGCGUAGCACCGCCUCUGCCUCAGUCACGUUUGUCCUCCUUUCAUCGGUCCAGGGGAGGGCAUUCGUGGCGCAGUGACGCCGGGAGGAGACCUCACUGAGACGGGCUGAGGAUCGCUGGGUCGGACUAAUGGAAAGGUUCCAGCGGGUCCGGGAAGGGGAUGGACCGCGGCUGAGCAGGAUCGCGGGCCAGGACAGAGGCUCCGAGCCCGCAGGCCUCGCCUACAUUCCGCGACGCCAAGGCCCGCUUCCUCCAGCAGUUAUACUGGCUGUGAGAGUCUGAGCUGCAGGGUCCAAAAUGGGAGGAGCCUAAGGGAUUCUGUGUAGUUCUGGCCGGCCUUGAACUCACUUUGUUGCCCAGGCUGGCCUUGAACACGAGAUCUUGCAGCCUCAGAAUACUGAGUGCAGACAUGGGCCAUCACACCCAGCUACAGUGGGUUUUAAAAGGUCAAGGAAUCAAGAGGAAGAAAACUGCAAGGCCAGAGGCUCUCAGAAUGGCCAAAGAGGGUCUACUUCAUGAGGGAAACGUCUGGUGUGACUUCACCAGCACACAAAGCUAAAAAUGUUUCAACAGAUGAAGAAAUGGCCUAAGGGAAUGUCAUACAGAGAAGACGUCAACAUCAAGCUGUCUGACUUCAGCUUCUCCAAGUGCUGCCUGCAGGAUAGGAGUGGCCAACUGGCAUUAAGUAAGACCUGUGGAUUGACAGCAUACUUGGCCUCCAAGGCACUGUAGCACAUCCCCUACUAACCCAAAGCAUCCAACAUACAGAACCCUGCCAUCGUCCUCUAUGUGAUCUUCUGUGGCUCCGUGCACUACGACAGCUUCAACACAUGCAGGACCACUGUGACAAUGUCCCAUGCUCCUGGCAUCUAACCAGUGACUGUUGGAUCUCAUCCAUCUCAUACUACAACCCAAUAUUAACUGGCAGCUCAACACUCACGAGAUCCCCAAGCACUUCUGGGUGCAGCCCAAGCACGGGAUCUCUCUUCUGCAGCCAUCAACAGGGAAUAGAAGAGGAGCUCCCAGGGCAUGGAUCCCGUAUGGAAUCCUGAACCUGGCUCUGGCAAGAAGUCUGCCACAAAGGUGGAGCCUCACGGAGAGGCAUAGCCACAGGCAGCACCCAAGACAAAAUGUAGGAGAAUGAGGUGCAGGUGGCCAGGCAGUCAGAGAUCCUGACUUCAGCAAGCAGAUGACCAG
ensembl:lncRNA